AAGAAGGGUUUUAUCUAGCAAAACGAUCAGUUAUUUUCUAAAGAAAUUUACAAUUUAUACACAUUUUUUUUUUAAACAUUAUUAU